UUUAUUGGAGAGUUUGAUCCUGGCUCAGGAUGAACGCUGGCGGCGUGCCUAAUACAUGCAAGUCGAGCGAAUGGAUUGAGAGCUUGCUCUCAAGAAGUUAGCGGCGGACGGGUGAGUAACACGUGGGUAACCUGCCCAUAAGACUGGGAUAACUCCGGGAAACCGGGGCUAAUACCGGAUAAUAUUUUGAACUGCAUGGUUCGAAAUUGAAAGGCGGCUUCG
rnacentral:rRNA from 1 species